AUACCUUAGAAUGGAAUACAACAAAAAAAAGAAACUAAAACAGCAGAGGUAACAUAUCAAACUGAUGUGCCGCCUAGGAGCAGGGUCACAGUUCAUUAUAUGGCAACAAAGGGUACCUGUGAAGUUCCUUUCUCCUACCUUCAGAAAGACACGAUUGCUAAUGGGACUCCUGUUCCAACGCCAAAGACGGAUGGUGUAUUCACUGGUGUCAGCUAUCAGAAAUUCCACUUCGAUCAGCC
rnacentral:misc_RNA from 1 species